rnacentral:rRNA from 1 species
UACGUAGGGUGCAAGCGUUGUCCGGAAUUAUUGGGCGUAAAGAGCUCGUAGGCGGUCUGUUGCGUCGGCUGUGAAAACCCGGGGCUCAACCCCGGGCCUGCAGCCGAUACGGGCAGACUAGAGUUCGGCAGGGGAGACUGGAAUUCCUGGUGUAGCGGUGAAAUGCGCAGAUAUCGGGAGGAACACCAGUGGCGAAGGCGGCGAUCUGGGCAGAUACUGACGCUGAGGUGCGAAAGCGUGGGGAGCAAACAGG